UACGUAGGGUGCGAGCGUUAAUCGGAAUUACUGGGCGUAAAGCGUACGCAGGCGGCUUGGUAAGACAGGUGUGAAAUCCCCGGGCUUAACCUGGGAACUGCAUUUGUGACUGCCUGGCUAGAGUCCGUUAGAGGGGGGUGGAAUUCCACGUGUAGCAGUGAAAAGCGUAGAUAUGUGGAGGAACACCGAUGGCGAAGGCAGCCCCCUGGGAUGAGACUGACGCUCAUGUACGAAAGCGUGGGGAGCAAACAGGAUUAG
rnacentral:rRNA from 1 species